CCCACUUUACAAUGUUCUAUCGGACCACCCCUGUUCGGCGCGCGCCAAAGCGCGCGGCUGCUACGGCGGCGGCAACGCCGGCAGCCGGCGUCUUGCGCAGCGGCAGCAGCUGACAUCUCGGCGGGAGGUUCACAUCGACCGCGGUGGGCACGUGACCGCCGGCGUCUGCACCGGUGCGUAAGUGUGUGUGCCGGCAGCCGGGAGCCCACACGACGGCGGGCCUCAGUUUCGGCCUGGAGUCCGGACGCGGCGGUUCGGCUCUUGGCGUGCAGCCUGGCUGGCACUCAACACGUACGCUCCCUAGCUCGCGGACGUCUUUGCACGUGGCACGAGGAAGGAGCGGAGAACGAGACUUCCGGCCUGCAGCCGCCGUCCGCAUCAAGGUGGGUUUCGUUGCACCCAGUUCUGCACCCGAAGUGCGUCAAUUAGGAAGGCGUAAUUAGUAUUGCGGCACGGUUUGAAAUAGAAGAGGUAAACGCAGACGCGCAUUCCUUCUUGCGCCGAGAUUCCGAAGUUUAGCUAGAGUGUAGCCUGCAGCGCCUCUAUAGAGGAAUCUGUCGUGCAUAACCGAAGUAUCGUCUGCUGUGCGAGACGAGAACGUACUAUUGUCAGCAUUAGCAGAGAUCGACAUUUUCUUCCUGAUGGGUUGACGCGCCCCGAUCGUCCUGGGGAGUAUUCUGUAAGUGUUCACCUAGCGGACAUGUCCAUUUCGUCUGCACUGAUGUUACGAUUGGCUGGGCUGAGGUACAAGUGAGACGGAGACAGGUGCCCUCAGCCAAUCAGCAUUUCAGCAGCAGACGAAAAGGACAUGUCCACUAGGUAGACACUUACUGAAUAGGCCGCAAAAUUCGGCUAUCAACACUUCUCCCGCGUCGCAAUCGAAAGGCGGAGGACCAUUGGUUGGUUUUUCGUCUGUGGCUUCUAGUAGCUGGCCAUGUUUCUGUCUCACUCUCCUAUUCGGAGCGAACGGAAUUGCUGAAACAACGUGGCUAAUCGCAUACGCCCUCGAAUAUCCAGAUAUCCCCUCACUGCACGCAAUACAUCGAACAACGUGCGCACGCAGCGGCUUCAGGCCAUGUCGAAGGUUAGCACUGCAGCUCAGAAACUCCAAGUUCAUCUCAAGCAUCAGUGUAAGAACACUGCGUGAAAUCGCAGCUUUUCCCUCUAGCCCCGUUAUCCUUAACUCGUAUCUAUAGCAUCAGAUCGUUGUGCUGAGAAUAGGCUGGAAACGUGUCCGGUUUUCUUUUUUUCGUGGUUGUUCAACGCCCACCUACGUGAGUGAAUGUGCUCAGUAGCCAGUGGCCAUGAGUCAUAUGCCACGUUAGCUCCAUCGCCUGCACGCUAAAGCCGACAACAAUACUACGUCGCCUUCUCUCCCUUCAAACCGUCAGCCGUUUCCCUUCUCUAUAUUGUAAUCUCGCAGUCCUUCGUGAAAGGGCGCGCGCUGUGGCUGAACGCAUUUCAUCACCUUUGUGUAACGUUUCGUAAGCACGGUUGUAUCACGGACAACGUUCUCGCAGCCUUGCAACUGAAGUAUAGCCAUCUCCUGUGAAACGCGAAAGGAGCAUCGACGCAGCCCUCGCCCAUAUAUACCGUGAAAUCUCGAACAACCGCACUCUUCCUUUGCAAACAAUUUCCUUUGUUAGGCAGCAGCAACAACCGCGUCGAAGUAUAAAGGGCAAAGCGUUUCUGGAUCUGCCUUGCUGCGAUCACAUUGUGAAAUCACGCCACAAAAAGUUUUAAUGCGGCAUUGUCAAACAAUGGUAGGUGGCGCUUAUUCAGAUCGAGAUCCAUUUUCCAUCCAUUUUGCGGUAAGUUGCGAUGGAUCAUAGGAAAGCAGGGAACUCCAGCCCAUACCAGCGGCUGCUUUAGCGGAGCUUGGUGAUUCCCGAACGAAUAGUAACGCUUGUAGAACGAAAAUAAUUGAUAAACCUAACCCUUCUGGAAGUAAAAAAAAAAGUUUGACAGCGUCUCCCAGCCGACUGCAACUCCCUUUAGGAAGGAACACCGGCGGGGUACGGCCCCUCGAUCGCCAGAGCCCCGCCGCACAACACGCAAACACCCGGAUAUGCCCAGACGUGGCAAUAAGCUUGACCGGCCGAUUUUCACGAUGCGUCCGCCCGGCCGUGUAAGUGUCUUCGCAAUGGCCAAAAUACAAGCAGGGCCGCCCACAGCUGGGCGGGCGUCGUCGUCCUCAUCAUCAUCGAACCGCGGCCGGGCGAGUCCCCACACCGCGUCGCGUGCCAGAGAGCGGGCCGCUGGCGUGAGCCCACGGCGGGUCAUGGAAUAUUUAAUAGCCCCGAAUUUCGGGCCUCGAUAAAGGCGAAGAGGAGGAAGCGAGGAGGGGCACACCCAAUCGAGGCCCGCUGCUAAACGCCGCCGUCGCCGCUGUGCAUGCCUUCUUCGUCACCCGCGCGCCGGCUGGACUUGGGCGCGCUGACGUCAAAGAGUGCGCGCUGCGCCUCCCAAUCCAGGCGCCGUGCGCUGAACAAUGCCUUCGUCCGCACCGCAGCUGCGAAGCAAGCACGGUGACGACAUCGGCCAGACGCGACACAACUCGCGCUGGUAUACGUGCCGGUGUGCCUCGCUGACGAGUGGGCCCGGACUCCAUAUGCCGGAGGAGGGAGGACGUCGAGCGAGAAGACUGAGGUUUGUUCUUGUUCCCCGCAGUUAACGACUUGUACACAGUGUACACGGCGAACAGGCCAAGAAGCAGACGAGAGGAAGAGCAGUGGAGAACAAGGGCGAUAAGAGGAGUAUCGAAGAGGACUUAUCACCGAACGACGCACAAGGCUUCGGCAGUUUCUACACCUUCGUCACGUCCUCGAGCACUCACGCCCUUCAACUUCUCACUACGGCGACCGGGGCAAUUGACACCAUGUGAGACAACGCACGCCCUGGGGCUGACUCGAGCUGCCCGUGCAAAACUGGAACCUUUGCGUUGUUUUGUUCGUUCGGCUCGAGUUAGGAACCGGCGUGGAAGCGCCGAUGGAACGAGCCGGCACCACCCUCCCCCCCUCUCGCCGGCUCGCCCUGCCUGCCCUUUCCUGUCUCGGCGGGGGUGCUCCCCGAAGCGUUAAAUAAAGAUUCACUGCACUUUUCAA